ACUCCUACGGGAGGCAGCAGUGGGGAAUUAUGGACAAUGGGCGAAACGCCUGAUCCAGCAAUUCGCCGCGUGUGCUGAAGAAGGCCUUCGGGUUGUAAAGCACUUUUGUCACGAAAGAAAUGCUCUAUGCUCUAAUACA
rnacentral:rRNA from 1 species